GUUACAAGCAUAUCUUGCGUUCUGUAUUUUUAAAAAUAUAUCCAUCUUUAAAACUUUGUCCCUGAUCAGGUUUCUGAUGUCAGUCUGGCACGAAGCAUGGAGCAGAAACGAAGUGGGUCUCCACAAGAAAAUGAAGGGGAGAGUAAUUCCGAUGGAGACGACAUCCCUGUCCAAAAGAAAAAGUCCAAGACCAUUCGCAAGCCACAGAAGAAGAGGCCCUGGGAAACUGAGGAGACAAAUGCCGUUGAAAAGCACAUGAGGAACUUCAUUUUGACCUGCAAUGUUCCAAGAAAGGAAGACUGUGAUAAGUGCCUUAAAUCAGAGCCAGAAGCACUAAAAAAAUAGAGACUGGAAGGCACUCAAAUUCUACAUCAAAAAUAGAAUUACUGCACUAAAAAGGAAAAUGUAAAACAUUUCAGUUUUCAUCAGGUACAAUAGAGAGAAAUGGGGGAGAGGGGGACAGGAG
ensembl:lncRNA